GUUUUCAUGUAUGAAUGAAUA
rnacentral:snRNA from 1 species